AUUAUUUUUUUUUGUAUUAUAACAAUUGUACCUAUUUAUCUUACUAUGGGUAUGGAGGGUACAAAACAGAUCCACGAUAUAGACCUUGUAAUUGACAAGGUUACAAAGAAGGCUGAUCUUUACUAACAUCUUAGCAUGUACAUGGAUUUAAUAUGCAUGUGUUGCCUAACUUGUAGUGGUUGCUAAUAAGGUGGUUGAUAUUGUAGGUUUACAUGGAAUAUCUAGGAUCUCCUCCUGAAGGGGAAUUUUCAAUGCAUUUGCAGUCAAAUUCACUGAUAAAGAACUAGAAAAAUUGGCUAAUGUAUAUUGGAACAUCCUCUUGUAAUUUUGAAAUAAAUUUGUUUCUUUGAUGUCUCAUAAGGUUGUAGUGUCAUUUAAACUUGAUAUGCAGGCAUGGAGGGAGUGGUGUCCAUUAAACCCUCCAACUUCACACAAUGAGAUCUCGACUUCAUAGGUUUCACUGAAACCAUUAAUUGAAAUCUCAUUGUUGAGAGUGAUGUCAUUAUCGGUGUUAUUGAUGCUGGAAUUUGGCUUGAUUCACCAAGUUUCGGUGGUGGAGGUUUUGGUCCUCCUAAGAAAAUAGAGAGGUGCUUGUAAGGGUGGCUUAAAUUUUUGUUGCAACAAGAACAUAUAAUAUUUUUGAAUAUAUAUUUCUACUUGCACAUGCCAGCAUGCAGACAUGCUACUAGUUAUGUUAACACAGUUUUCUCUAUUUGGUGCACUUGUUGGUAUUUUUUUGGUGUUCCUGCUCAUCCUCCUUUUAUAUAACCUGAUGGAUGAGAUGCUUGUUAGAGAAAAAGGUGAAAAUAAUUGAGAAAGUGAACAGAAAAGCAAGAAAAAAGAAGUAUUUGGUUAUCUUGGUCAGUAAUAUUAAUUUUGUUUAUCUUGUUCUUAAUAGAUCUAACCACCACCUGAUAAUAGGAGCAAGUGAGGUUAAUCAUUUUCUUUUUUUUUGAACUAACGUUGUUUUGUAUAUUGUUGUGUUUCAUGUCAACAACUGAAGAUUCUCUUAGCAAUCUGGGGUGUAAAUUCUACAGGAAGUUGAUUGGAGCUUGGAGUUAACAGCUUCUACGAGGGACACAGUGCUUCCACAGCAACUGGCAAUAAGGUAGUGGAUACUAGGUUUUUUGGUCUGGAACAAGGAAUUGCAAGAGGAGUUUCCUCAGCCAGGACUAUCAUACAAAGUUUGUGAUGAUCCAAUAGGGUGCAGAAAUCAAGAUAUAUUGACUGCCUUUAAUGAUGCUAUUUCAAAUGGGGUUGACUCAAUACAAUUUCAUUAGGAUUACAGGAUCUGAACAAAUUGUUCCAGAGCUCCAAAGCAAUCGGUGCUUGUCAUGCUAUGGAGAGGGGUAUUUUAGCCUAUAACACUGCAGGAAUUGAAGGUCCUUGGCAAGGUGGUAUAGUGAGUAUUGCACCCUGGAUGCUCAGUAUAGUGGCAAGCAGCACUGAUUGCAGAAUCGUUGACAAGGUUGUUCUUGGAAAUGGAACAACAUUAAAGGUGAUGCUGUUGAUUAAUUCUUUUGCAUUGAAUGGAACGAAGUUUCCUCUUAAAUAUGGAAAAACUGUCGAAGUCAAUGUGAUGAAUCAGGUGCUGUGUAAGUUCUGCUCUCGAGUAAAUAUUGACCCCAAGUUUCAUCAGAGAGGGAAUGCAAGAAUAAAUGGAAUUAUAUUUCAUUUCCGGGACUGUGAGGGACUGUUUAGACAGUAGUUUGGUGAACUAAAAGAUUCUACCAUGUGAAUGUUUCUGAGGAUUCGAAGAAGCACUUAGGGCUGGUGCCCUUGGGUUGAGCACAUUGAACAAUUUGCAAGAAAAUGUUUAUCUUGUCUCUCCUGUCAUUCCCUUGCAUCAGUUAUAACUGGACAAGGUUUUUUAGCUAGGGUUGAGUUUUAUGUCGAGUCCAAGUGAGAAUUCUAAUAAAAAACCCAAUUCUUGGUUCAUUGUUACUAUGCUUCAUUACAAACUAAGGAUUCUGAUGAACCACCCAUCUAUUCAGUAAUUCUUAGUUUUUCUUUGACUGGCACAAUAUAUCAAAUUCUUGGGUUCUUAUUGUCUGGAAAUCCUGAAGCAUUUUUUUUUGCUCCUUUAGUUGCAGAAUUUUCAUUAUGAGGGCCGAACCAUCAUAUACUGAAAAAUUUGAAGGUACAUCUAGUCCAUGAUUUAUACUUCUCUGUCAUAGGUUUUGUUAGAUAUAAUUUAUCUACUUCUUGGGUUCAUCAAUAUGUUGCAGCCAGAUGCAAGUGCCCCAGGACUAGAUAUCUCAGCAGCAUUUUUCACCAUUUGCUUCACAUUCAGCCUGGCUCAUGAAUGCUACCAAACAUUGAUAUGGCAACCUUAUGGAUCAGGUCAUGUUGAUGGAACCAAUAAAAGCUAUAAAUCCUAGUUAGUGUAUGUUGCCUUAAGGCUGACUCCAUCCGAAGGAUGUGUGCAUGGGCUACAAUACAACAUGGUAAAAACUCAUUUCAAGAGACAACAGCAGCUGUCCUACUGACAGUAGAGGCUCCCCAAAGGAUCUCAAUCAUCCUUCAAUGGUCUUUAUUUUGCAGAAAAAAGGCCUUUUAAAGUCUGAGUUUCCAAGAGCACUUACAUUCGGCCCCUCAAUAUCCCAUGUCAAAAUAGGUGCAGAUCCUGCCAUUCUUGCAUUUUUGUCCUUAAAUCUUAAAUGAGGAGGAAAUGUUUUAUUGUGAUUGUUGCCGGAGAAUUGGAAUCCAUGGGUUUCUUUUCAUGAAUGCUGCAUUAAAUCUUUCAAGAGUACCUGUUUGUUCUUUGUUUUUGUUAGUUCAUUUACAAGUGAUUUUUGCUUUUUAAAAAGAACUCAAGGUUAAUACUAUAAUUUUGUAUA